UACGGAGGGUGCGAGCGUUGUCCGGAAUCACUGGGCGUAAAGGGCGCGUAGGCGGCGCGGGCAGUCAACGGUGAAAGCUUGGGGCUCAACCCCGAGUCGGCCGUCGAUACUCCCGGGCUGGAGCACGGUAGAGGCAGGUGGAAUUCCGGGUGUAGCGGUGGAAUGCGUAGAGAUCCGGAAGAACACCGGUGGCGAAGGCGGCCUGCUGGGCAGUAGCUGACGCUGAGGCGCGACAGCGUGGGGAGCAAACAGG
rnacentral:rRNA from 1 species